UUUGGCCCUGGGGAGUGUCUCUGGUGAACUUGGAGAUCCGGUGACCAGCCCCCUCCCACUGAAGUGGCCAGUGGGGGCAGACCAGACUAGAUCUCAGGAGAGACCAGCUCUACCCCCACCUCCUCUGCCAGCUGACACCUCCUGGCCUCCUGCUAAAAACAGUCGGUCUCAGGGGGACUAUGGGUUUUCAGGCCUCCCCCUCCACACCCAGGCAGGUAUUAAAGAGGCCGAAGUCAGGCCAGACCGGCUGGACAUCAUGCUAUUCACCGAGACUGCUCACUUCGUGGUGAAUUUUCUUCUAUCCCGGCAGCCCCGGGCCACAACCCCGCACCGCCUGGACCAGGAGUUGUGUUUCUGGGGCAGCCGGGGCCCAGUGUUGCCGGUGUCCGCCGCCCGCCGCAGCCUGGGCGACUACUGGCUGAGCCCGCAGCGCCGCCACCCUCCGGGCGCCGCCUGGCGCUGGCCGGCACGCAAACUGCUACUGCUGCCCGGGGACACAAGCCUGGCCGACGUGCCCUCGGCACGCUGGCCUAGCUGCUAUGGCGCACGCCCGAGACUCACAUAUCCCCUCCCUCCAGGUGGAAGCACCGGUGGCAGAAUAUUAACUACUAUUUUCUGGGCAAAAGGAAGAGACACCUAGUUCCCUUGCGCCCGUGAGAGCCGGGACUUGGGGAGACAGGCUUCAGGCUCCAUCGCAUGAUGAUCCUGGGGGGGACCAGUGCCAAGGCUAGGCUGAGAAGGAAGAUGGCCUAGACAUGCAGCAUGAUCCAGAGUCCCCUCUGUGGACGAAGAUGAGUCCCCUUUGCCCUCCCUCCUGAGAUCUCUGUGGUUCUGCCCUUCAUUUUCCAAAUAAAUUCUCUGCAACCUCACUCUGGCUCUCUCUACUUUGAGGGGAUCUCAGUUU
rnacentral:lncRNA from 1 species